GGUGUGACGUCAAAUCCUCGUGCAGAGAAAAGAAGCGCCACUGAGUUUUCAUAAAGUUCGUCCAAAAAAUACUUGCAAAAAUGGACGAAAUGCAACUUUCAGAUACUUGUUCUUCUGAAGAACUCUCAAUAUCAUGACGAGCACAAAAAGAAAAAGAAGUCGUAAUAAUAUAAUGAAUGACUCCAGUUAGUCAUCCCACAGGACAGGCUGAGAAGGAACAUCCUUUCCCUUAGCUCUCUCCUCAACGGCAUGAACAAGCCCUGUUAAUCCAUAGUAUGCUGCCUCCACAUGGAUUUGCCGGAGGAUGGACUUAUCAAAUGGGAGGACCUUGGAGUUGUACGUCGCCGAUCUGAGGUAAUCUAGUAUGAAGUCGAAAUAACGGGGGUUCCUAUCUAGGAAAAAUGUUUUUGUGUCGUUGUUUGUUGCACAAAGGUCUUUUGCCACCAUGGCCGAUAAUAUAGAGCUCGGGUCUGCUUGCAUGGUUUGUUUACUUGUCUCAAAUCGUCUACCUCCGACGUUCAACACUAUUCUUUCUUUCUGUUGUAUUUCCAGGCUCUUUAUCAUUAUUUCCCUUUUGUCUGUCGGGUUAUAUGUCGGUGCCGGAAGGUCAGCCACUUCGUACUCCAGAGCUGCAGGGUUCUUCGAAACUCUCGGUUCUGCUCCACGCACUGAGAUAUCAGGGCUCUCCAAGGAAUUUGUCGAUGACCUUUUGGAGGAAGAGUGGCUGGAGGACGACGAGGAUGAUGUAUCAUCAAAAAGCCUUUUGCUGACUGUCCUAUCCUUUUGUG